UACAGAGGGGGCAAGCGUUGUUCGGAAUUACUGGGCGUAAAGGGCGCGUAGGCGGCCUUCUAAGUCGAACGUGAAAUCCCCGGGCUCAACCCGGGAACUGCGUCCGAUACUGGAAGGCUUGAAUCCGGGAGAGGGAUGCGGAAUUCCAGGUGUAGCGGUGAAAUGCGUAGAUAUCUGGAGGAACACCGGUGGCGAAGGCGGCAUCCUGGACCGGUAGUUGACGCGUGACGGCGCGAAAGCCAGGGGAGCAAAGCGGG
rnacentral:rRNA from 1 species